rfam:Helianthus annuus linkage group 16, whole genome shotgun sequence.
AAGAUAAGAGUAUCUCAGACGAGCCAAAGACGACUUCCUAAAAAACCACUUCAAAAGUUGUCUAAUUAUACGAGUACAAUUUACAACCUUAGAGUAAAGGGGUUUAGGCAAGUCAUCCUUGGCUAUCCAAAUCACUCUUUAACC